ACGCACGCUGGCGGCGUGCCUCAUACCUGCAAGUUGAGCGCUGAAGGUUGGUACUUGUACCGACUGGAUGAGCAGCGAACGGGUGAGUAACGCGUGGGGAAUCUGCCCUUGAGCGGGGGACAACAUUUGGAAACGAAUGCUAAUACCGCAUAAAAACUUUAAACACCAGUUUUAAGUUUGAAAGAUGCAAUUGCAUCACUCAAAGAUGAUCCCGCGUUGUAUUAGCUAGUUGGUGAGGUAAAGGCUCACCAAGGCGAUGAUACAUAGCCGACCUGAGAGGGUGAUCGGCCACAUUGGGACUGAGACACGGCCCAAACUCCUACGGGAGGCAGCAGUAGGGAAUCUUCGGCAAUGGACGAAAGUCUGACCGAGCAACGCCGCGUGAGUGAAGAAGGUUUUCGGAUCGUAAAACUCUGUUGGUAGAGAAGAACGUUGGUGAGAGUGGAAAGCUCAUCAAGUGACGGUAACUACCCAGAAAGGGACGGCUAACUACGUG
rnacentral:rRNA from 1 species